rnacentral:lncRNA from 1 species
GGUAUUUAUGACACCGGAUCGGUUUGGCCACCGAUCGGAGGUGUACUUAUCCGGAUGGGUCGUCCUGUGGGGCGGAUGGAUCAGGUUGGUGCAGAUAGUGACAGGCAGCGCUUGAGGUCUGCGGACCAAUAUAGCAGGCACAGAUUGGGUACAGUUACAGGUUUAUUACAUUGAGGCAUACUUGCAUUGUUUCUAUACAGUAGCAGUUUUAGUUCUUGCUUCUUAUAUACCUGUUAUAGCUACUGUAGUUUCCUUUUCGCAUCACAGUAUAUAUAUAUAUAUCUUGUUUAUCUAUCUCCUUUGGUUUUCGGUGAUUACGGCUUGCCUUCGUGGCUCUGUCGUACCCACUGGGAAACCAUGGUUGCGGUUUCUCACCCCCCAUUCCCCCAGGUAUUUCAGGAAAGGAGUUGGCUUUUGGGCACGACGAGAGGACGAUCUAGCUAGCUUGCCGUAGCGACCGUCACUCGGGUUACUUUUAUUUCCGCAUUUAGUAGUUUAUUAAUAAAUGGUUCAGUUAGAUAAUCUCUAUGAUUGUUUGCCUGUUCGUGGAUUGGUUUUGUGGAUAUUUUCGUUAUUCAUGCAUGUGAACGGAUAAUUGUGGAUCUGUGGUUUUUGGUUCUUGCAUUUAUGGAUUUACGCAUCGUAGUUUUCUACCCCUCGAGGUAGCUGGUUUUUAAAAUAGAGUUCCCGCGUGGGAAACAAUUUUAAAAAGAUUUUCGAAUGGUUUUCAUGGAUGAUUGAAUUAGAGUUUAAAAACAAAGCUUCCGGGUGGGGAGCACUUUUAAAUAGGAUGAUUAUUGUACUGUGCAUUGCAUCAUCCAGCGCCUAAGGAGUGUUUAGAGGGAUACAUCAUCUCUAAGGAUCGUUAGCUGUAUGAAAAUGCAUAUCAUGAAAUAGUUGUUUGUUUGUAAUUGUAGAUUGUAGUUGAGAUUCUGAUGUAACUAUUGGUACGCCGUGCAAAUACAAGGAGACUCUGUCUGAGCGGACAGAUGAACUUUGUAUUUGUGGCGGGUCUGUACGUCACGUGGGCCAGGUUGAAAAAAAAAUUAAAAAAGGCACGUUUUCCACAACUCUGAUUUCAAAAUGGUAAUAGUUCUAAAAAGGCUUUUAAAAUCGGCCCCGGGGAGUGACAGUUGACGAUGUUUUUAUGUGUAAUUUAAUUACAUAAGUACUUGUCAAGUUUCAAGAGAAAACGAGUUAGAAUGGAGAAGUUACGCGAUUAUUAGUUUUCACUUAAAGUGAAUACUAACUCCGAUUUUUCGGAGAGGCCACGGAGUAGAGUUGGGUUUCGGUGCGUAUCAGACUCUGUUCAUAGCGAUCCAAUAGCUCGUUUCGACCGGUUCAACUAUUCUGGAACCAAUGGCACUGACGGAUUUCAGAUCUGAUGCAUGGUUUUCGAGAAAAAGAGGUUUCAUGGGAUUAUAUAUAUGGUAUAUAUAUGUGUUAUAUGGUGGAAUGAAGAGAGGAUGAGUUUUGUCACAAAUCGGCGACCAAAUAAAAUGAAACAAAAUUGUAGAUGUGAUGCUGCAGUCGUGCUGAACGCGCUGGUGUGAUCCGAUCGAAAAUUCGACUGACGGAUCCUCGGGAAACGUGAGAAGUUCAUCGAGGGGUCUAAGGUG